rnacentral:misc_RNA from 1 species
GUACCCUCAAGCUUUGCUUGGUGUUGGGGAUCGGCCAGCGCCCGCGAGGGACGGCCGGCCCCUAAAUCUAGUGGCGGACCCGUCGUGGCCUCCCCUGCGAAGUAGUGAUAUUCCGCAUAGGAGAGCGACGAGCCCCUGCCGUUAAACCCCCCAACUUUCUCA